rnacentral:rRNA from 1 species
AGAGUUUGAUCCUGGCUCAGGACGAACGCUGGCGGCGCGCCUAAAACAUGCAAGUCGAGCGAGAACCAGGGCUUCGGCUCUGGGGACAGCGGCGAACGGGUGCGUAACACGUGAGCAACCUGCCCCGAAGACCGGGACAAGCCGGGGAAACCUGGUCUAAUACCGGAUGCCCUCACCGGAUCGCAUGAUCUGGCGAGGAAAUGGAUUCCGCUUCGGGAUGGGCUCGCGGUCUAUCAGCUUGUUGGUGGGGUAACGGCCUACCAAGGCGACGACGGAUAGCUGGUCUGAGAGGACGAUCAGCCACACUGGGACUGAGACACGGCCCAGACUCCUACGGGAGGCAGCAGUUAGGAAUCUUGCGCAAUGGGGGAAACCCUGACGCAGCGACGCCGCGUGCGGGAUGAAGGCCUUCGGGUUGUAAACCGCUUUCAGCAGGGACGAAAUUGACGGUACCUGCAGAAGAAGGCCCGGCCAACUACGUGCCAGCAGCCGCGGUA